AUCCAGCUGACGAGUCCUAAAUAGGGCGAAACGCUCGUCCUGGAU
rfam:Schistosoma mansoni strain Puerto Rico chromosome 4, complete genome